rnacentral:rRNA from 1 species
GCGGCGGCAGGCCUCCAGAUGCUAGUCGAACGGUAACAGGAAGCAGCUUGCUGCUUCGCUGACGAGUGGCGGACGGGUGAGUAAUGUCUGGGAAACUGCCUGAUGGAGGGGGAUAACUACUGGAAACGGUAGCUAAUACCGCAUAACGUCGCAAGACCAAAGAGGGGGACCUUCGGGCCUCUUGCCAUCGGAUGUGCCCAGAUGGGAUUAGCUAGUAGGUGGGGUAACGGCUCACCUAGGCGACGAUCCCUAGCUGGUCUGAGAGGAUGACCAGCCACACUGGAACUGAGACACGGUCCAGACUCCUACGGGAGGCAGCAGUGGGGAAUAUUGCACAAUGGGCGCAAGCCUGAUGCAGCCAUGCCGCGUGUAUGAAGAAGGCCUUCGGGUUGUAAGGUACUUUCAGCGGGGAGGAAGGCGAUAAGGUUAAUAACCUUGUCGAUUGACGUUACCCGCAGAAGAAGCACCGGAUAACUCCGUGCCAGCAGCCGCGGUAAUA